UGGAGAGCAAAAUGGAGAGCAAAAAAAAAAAAAAAGCUUACAGCACCUGGUAUUGCCAGGCGGUCUCCCAUCCAAGUACUAACCAAGACCGACACUGCUUUGCUUCCCAGCUGCCGACUGCAAGGCCAGCUAAAUGUUUCAGCUUCAGUCAAUCACGUCCGCAGAUUCUAAAACAUUUGGAGCCAAUCACGUUCGCACAGUCUAAAACAUUUGCCCAAUCACGGCAGAAAUCCUGGAGAGCAACGUCAGGCACACGGCAGAAAUUCUGGAGGGCGACGUUACAUUGCUUACGCUAGACCUGAGGGGGCGGGUAAUUCAAAGAGUGAAGCUAGCCGGAUGCUUAAGGAAUCAACCGAGGCAGAUUAUCGACAUGGUGUCAAACCCCCGUAUCGGGGUGGAGUCGUUGCUGGUGACGGUCAUCAGUAAAGCACCAGCCCAGCAGAAGGCAGGGAGAGUCUGGCCGGGGAAGUGCUUCAGACUCUAGACAGAGAAGGCCUACAAGACAUAAAUGCAGAGAUACCAAAGCUGAGAGAGGUGCUGAGGAGUCUUAACGACAGUCAUACCAACAGAAUGGCCUCACAGUAUGUUAACAGAGCCACAGGGAUUCUGUCCCUCAUACAGACAUACAACAAAAAGAACAACGAAGAGAUGAAUAUGGACAAAACUAAGCUGCACAAUGAGCUGAAGAAGAAGCUGGAGGAUGAACUGAAACGUCUAAGGGAUCGUUUAGAGCCAUGUUACGGUGAACUGGAGACGUGCCUCUCAGAUGGAGUUAAAAAGUCAGAGAAGAAAUGUGCUAAAAUAAUGAAGAAAAACAUGGAUGUACCAGUAAGCACUACUACUUGGCAGAUAAAGUUAUUUUAUGGUAUUAUAUGUAAAACCGCUACAGAUCUACCAUGCUUUAAUCCACACACAUUUAAUAAAUGAAACAUUCAAUAUAAUUUCUUUAGGCAGAAAGAGAUGGACGUGGAUACCAUCAGACUCUAUCAUUCUUGUGCAGAAAUGAAGGUUACUUCAGGUCAAAUGAUGGAGAAAUGAGACCUGAACGAGUCUCUGGCUGAGAUUAUGCAUGAAAGCAUCAAUGAAAAGUUUGAUGCCUUGUUCCCAAAUGAAGGGGAAACCAGCCAGUCAGUGCAGGCGAAGGUCAAACAAUUCAGUGUCUGCUCGAUCAGAGUCGAUGAGGGCUACAGCAACCCUGCAGCAAUGAAACUUUUUCUGAGGUUCUUAAAAGCUGAGAGGCUGAAGAAUGUGUUGGAACGAGAUCCAUGGCGGGGAAGCAGAGAAUACUGAUACAACACACUGAGUCACUAAAGGGUACCAUGUUCAAGAAAGCAAAGGACGAGAUGCUGACUGUUCACAGAUCUGACGAAACAAAUUGAGAUCCUUUUGAGAGGGGACCUACUGAAAGCUAUGGAUCAUUCACUGAUUGAAUCCAACUUCCCGUUUAGCAUGGGUAAGUCAGGAUCUCCACAGAUCUUCAUCAUAUCCCAUAUCCAUCUGCCUGAAUGUAACCGGACAGGUUGAACGUUAGACCCUUGAAUACACAACAAUACCAACAAUGUAUUUAAGAAAAC